rnacentral:lncRNA from 1 species
CAGGGCCCUGAGGGAAAACAAAUCAAUAAGAAGAAAAAAAUCAAUGGAAACAAGUAGUUCACAGAAAGUUGAACAAGUCUUUAGGUUCAAAGUACAGUUUGAUGGUUGGUUCCUGAACCUUGCUCAUUUCCACCAGCUGUUAAGGCUUGAGAAAUUUGGGAUAUGCAUCUCAUGUACAAUUAUACUGUUCUCUAUUUUAAAAGAUGCUGCAACUCACAGUGCUUGUAUUUUUGUGUUUAUUUCUUGCUAAAGAUAUCUUCGGAUAUAUAGCAUUUCGUACUUUUUAGCAGAACGAGUCGACCUGCAUUGAUUUGAGAUUCUGCCCGUCAGUAACUAAACGACCCUGACACUUCUCCUUCCUGCUGACUUGUGAAGAAGUGCCUGGCUUCCCCUUUGCCUUCCACCAUGAUUGCAAGUUUUCUGAGGCCUCUCCAG